rnacentral:lncRNA from 1 species
GUUUGUGCAGAGCGAGGCCCCGCCGGCCGGGCUUGACGUCAGGCUGGCAGGGCCUGGAACGGCCCCGCAUCGCGGCCCCCUGGGGGCAGGACGACACCGCUGGGGGCCGAGGGCAGGGCACGCCUUCGGAAUCCGGCUUCGAAGCCGGCCGCCUGACCUGGGGCAAGUGCUUUCAACUCUCUGAACUUCGGUUCCUCAUCUGCCAGUUGGCAGACGCUCAGCAAAUCUUCCUAGACUCACGGGGCGAAUUGUACAGUUGGGUAAAUCGAGGCCCAGAGAUGGCAAAAGGACCGUCCAAGGUCGUACAGCCACCCGGAAUUACAAUUCUUUUCUGCCGGGUCACACGCUGUCAUCCACGUGUUACCUAAGAGAGCUUUCCAGCCUGUGCUAAGAAAACUGCCCCACAUCAUCUGCAGUAGGACGGGGGAGUUGGAGCCCUGGUCAGGCCACUCUGCUACUGACCACAGUUUUCUCAUCUCUAAAAAGGCGCAGUAACAAUAUAAUUACCGUAUGCAGUCCCCCAGGAUACAGGGUCAAAGGAGAGCACAACCAUCGCAGUUGGAAGCCCAUGGGGCAGGUACCCAGACUUCACCCUCAGGUCACCCUCACCUGGACUUUGGGGUGCCCCACACCCCGCCCCAGGCCCUGGCCUCUGGAAUAUUUGGAAACUUGAACUGGGCCAGAGGCUUAAGCUCACAUCUGUCUGGAGCCUCAACUUUCUCCUCUGUAAAAUGGGCUAACACUGAAAGAACCUUGCAGAAUCUCAGCAACGUCACAGAGGACAUUGUUAGCACAGCCAGCGGGCUCCUGCUGGGCUGAGUUUGUGGGUAAUCCAAGCCUCGGCAGGUACAGUUCCUCCCUCAGCAGGGCCCAGGACACAGUGAGCAUACAAUAGACAUUAGCUGCUGUGGUGUCUUGAUUUCAAGCCCAGUGCAGAUGCAUCUGACUUACGAAACUUCAGUGACACCUGCUCUGUGCCAGACACUGAAGAUGGAGCAGUGAACAGCACUGACCCAGCCUGUCCUCCUGUUGCCUGCAGGCCAGGUUUUUUCAGACGGAGUCUCACUCUGUCACCAGGCUGGAGUACAGUGGUGUGAUCUCGGCUCACUGCAACCUCCGCCUCCCAGGUUCAAGCGAUUCUCCUGCCUCAGCCUCUCAAGUAGCUGAGAUUACAGACGUGUGUCACCAUGCCCUGUUAAUUUUUGUUUGUUUGUUUUGUUUUUUGUUUUGUUUUGUUUCGUUUUUUGUUUUUUUUUUUUGAGACGGAGUCUUGCUCUGUCGCCCAGGCUGGAGUGCAGUGGCCCCGAUCUCGGCUCACCGCAAGCUCCGCCUCGCGGGUUCAUGCCAUUCUCCGGCCUCAGCCUCCCGAGUAGCUGGGACUACAGGCAUCCGCCACCACACCCAGCUAAUUUUUUGUAUUUUUUUUAGUAGAGACGGGGUUUCACUGUGUUAGCCAGGAUGGUCUCGAUCCCCUGACCUUGUGAUCCACCCAAGGCCUCGGCCUCCCAAAGUGCUGGGAUUACAGGCAUGAGCCACCGUGCCCGGUCAAUUUUUAUAUUUUUUGUAGAGACAGGGUUUCACCAUGUUGGCCAGGCUGGUGUCGAACUCCCGACCUCAGGUGAUUGUCGGCCUUGGCCUCCCAAAGUGCUGGGAUUACAGGCGUGAGCCACCGCGCCCAGCCGGUGGGCAGCCAGUUGUGUUCCGGGAGGAGGAGGACACCCUGGAAAGACAGUGGGGCCAGACACUGAACUGCCUUUGGAAGCAAGUAGGAGCAACAGCGAAGGUUUGCUGGCUCAGAAGCAAGGUCUCGCUGUGUUACCCUGGCUGGAGUGCAGUGGCUACUUACAGGCAUGAUCAUAGCAUACUGCAGCCUCGAACUCCUGGACUAGAGCAGUUCUCCUGCCUCAGCCUCCAGAGCAGCUGGGACUGCAGACACGCACCACAGAGCCCAGCCUGAGUCAUUUUGAUUCUGUAACUGGCUUCCUCUCGGCGGGCAGGCUCACACCCUCCACCCCCAGCUGGAGAUGGAAGGAGGAUGCUCACCGCCCAUUCCUCAUGCAGGCCAUCGAUGGAAAUGUCAGACAGUGCGAGUCCACGCCUGAACACUUCUGGGGUCCGCUCUGGGACUGACACUGGCAGAUCCAUCGGUGAGCUCCCGCCUGCCACCUCUGGGCCUGCAUUGCGGUGAUAGGGCCAAGGGCCUGGGCCUUCAAUUCUCCAGACUUGCCAAAAUGCUCAGCGCAGGCCUCGUCGGCAACUGCAGACAAGCAGAGGCAGCACCUGGGCUCUGCCUGUGCCUGGCACAGUGAAGCGAGGGUGGGGGCAGGAAUGAGGGUCCUCUCCAUGCAAGGGGGGAAGAUAGAAGAACAAAAUUUCACCCUAAUGUAGUGUCUUUAGACCGUGCAAUGUUGUGCUCCUGUUAGUCUGAUAUCAGGGGCUUGCAGCCUGGCAAAGGAAAAAAAACAGGCUGAGGCACAUGAUAGAAGACAGGCAGGGAUGCCACAAUCAUAACCAUGGCAAAGACCAGGAUCAGAAAGGCCCACCAUCUCUGACCCCAAAUCCCUGGGCAGAUGGUUCCAGAACUCAGAAUUUUCCCAGUUGUAGAAAGAUGGGGCCAGGUGCAGUGGCUCACGCCUGUAAUCCCAGCAUUUUGGGAGUACAAGGUGGGCGGAUCACCUGAGGUCAGGAGUUCGAGACCAGCCUGGCCAACAUGGUGAAACCCUGUCUCUACUAAAUGCCGUUCCAUUGUUUGCUGACUUUCAUUGAUUCUAUGAGAAGUCUGCAGUCUUUUGCAGCGUUGUUUUCCUAUGUAUAAUUGUCUCCUCCCA